AUGAUGGAGGGUGCACAAGAAGAAGGAGGUAUGACUGUAAGUGAGUACACCGCCAAGUUUGAAACUUUAUCCAGGUAUUUUCGGUUCUUCAGGAAAGGAGUGGAUGAAGUUUACAUGUGCCACCGUUUCCAAGAAGGACUUAGGUACGAACUACAUGACUCAGUGGUUCCAUUAGGCAUACAACGCUUUCAAUCAUUGGUGGAGAAAUGCAGAGAAAUAGAGGACAUCAAAAAUAGGAGGGCAAAUUGUGGGGAAGUCUAG